GUCUCCAGCCGUACCACCCUGAAUGCGCCCGAUCUUGUCUGAUCUCAGAAGCUAAGCAGGGUCGGGGCUGGUUCGUACCUGGAUGGGAGAGCGCCUGGGAAUAACCGAGUGCUGUAGGCU
rnacentral:rRNA from 1 species